AUGAGCCUCUACGCAAGCACGUCUCCAUCAACCCGAAGGGGCAGCUGCAUUGAAAUUAGGUUCGAGGUGAAGUACGAAAAACUGCCAAAUUUUUGUCUGUUUUGCGGUUUGGUAGGCCACUCGUCUGCAAGAUUUUGUAGCACUCCAAGAGACUCUAGGAAGCCGGAGUUCAAUAUUGCAAUUCAGGUGGCUCCUUAUUUGAAGGAAAGGAAUUAUGUGAGGAGAUCUGUGAUGUUCCAAGAGGCUCUGCCAAAGAUGAAGCAAGUGCUUGAGGAAGCUAUCAAGGAAGUGGAGAAGGGCGUUUGCAAUCUGGUGGUAACGGUGAAUUCCAUGACAGAGUUUUCUAAUCUUGCUAUGCAAGACGACGCGAGUGUGGUGCCGGGGCUGGCACCAACACUACCUUCCUCUAUUGGGGGCUCCUCCAAUCAACUGCUUCCUAAUUCAUCAACACCUCCGCCUUGUCCAGGAGGUGUGCCAUCUGGGCUGCUACUGGAGGGACCUUCCAAGGGGGGUCGUUCGCUCCUCCAUCACACCGGGCCACUGCUACUGGGGCGCUUAGUCAACAAGGCUUUAGCCCCGCAGCAAUUGCUGCUCUUCAUCAAGAUGUGCUCGCCCGGGUAA
rnacentral:rRNA from 1 species